rnacentral:tRNA from 1 species
AGCCUUGUGGUGUAAAACAUAUUGGAUUGCAAAUCCAAAGAAGCAGAUUGGCGUCUGCCGGGGCUU